CAGUGGCGCACAGUGUUGUCGGGUGUUUUCUAACAGGAGUCAUGGCGAAACACAGCCGGCAAUGGCACUCUGAGGAGUGUGGAGCAUUGAGACAAAGCAGGAAACUACCCUCUGGUGAGCUCGUCGGUGCAUCGGUUACCGGGGCAACCGUCACUGGAUGAUGACCUGAUGUCACACUGGCAUUUAUUACCUCCACCAAGGGGGAUAUUUCUUCAUCCCUGUCGGUGGUGCAGGCUUAAAUACAACUUAGAUUUGGGCGCAUGAGGAAACGAAGAAUCCAUUAGAUCUUAGAACAAGGCCGAAAGGAAUGACCUUGGGUAAUGAACCACUGCUGCUGCACAAAAUCUAAUGAUAAAGACAUUCCUGUCUGAUCAUAUGUUUGAAAGCUUUUUUUUUUCCUUCUUCUAAUUUUUAUGUUUUAUUCCUCAGUGACAAAACUAAAGUAGUUCACAAACAGGGGCAUUUGUUCCCAAAUGGCUGAUGUCAAAUCAGUACAUUCGUGUUCACUUUCACUGCUAAAAGUCAUCUUCAUAUCAAGGAAAAAUAAAAAAUAUCAGGUCAUGUUCCCAAAAUAGUGGAGAUGUCCAAGGUGAAAUGUAAAAAAACAUUUCUCUAGUUUUCCUUGUCAACCAGCUUCAUUUUUUAAAUCCACUGCAUUUUUAGAUAUUAUUCUUUCACAGCAUGAAGAAUGUUUCAUAUUUUCCUUGCGUACAAUUAAAUAUAUAUUUUUUGUGUGACAAUGUGAGAGCAAAAAUCUUGACAUUUUAAAAGGCUUUGCAACAUUGACAUGAACACGAGACCACCAUCUGAAGGCCAUUUCUGAUAGAUUGUGCAGGAGGAGGUCUUAGUUUUGAACAGCACCUGUCACACAUGCCCCGACUCCCACUUUCUCCUCCUGCUUUCCCUUCCAUUCCUCCACUUUCAGAAAGUGACAUUUUGAUAGCGAGCAUCGCCAUUGUCCGUGUUCUGGUCUGCUGAUUCUACAUGCAGCCCGGCUGGCAAUUUGCAUCGCCUCAAAGAACCCCCACGUCCCCCACGUCGCCCUCGUCAAGGACCCGUCGCCCCAAUCGCUGUGUCAUGCACCUUCAAGCUCCGUUUUACACUGCAGGAGCUGCCCAGCAAUUGGAUCGAGGAUGUAGAUCCUUUUUAGAGAAAAGCACAUUUCGGUGUCUGGUAUGCUCAGUUGGCCCAUUAUCAAGGCUCGCCACAUGCUUCCAGUUCACACACAAACACACUUGCUUUACUGUGAACUCAAGACCCUGCUGAGUUGUUCACAUUGUGUUUAUAUCAGAAGGAACAGUGUGACAUGCGAGAGCAUCCAGUGCAAGACAUCUGGAUCGACCAUGCUGAAUUUGCAGAGAUAAUGUUGAUUGCUGUGGUUGUGGAGGUAUUUUUCAUACAGUCAUAUCUUGUUUUUCCAAUGUCUCAGUUCUCGACCAAAUCGGUUUUCAACCAGAAGAUUCGAGAUUUUUACGACUCGGAUUACAACCCAAAGCCGGUUUUCGACCAAACUGAGCAAACCCAAAUACGCCACUUGACUCCUCUCGACUUCCUUACACGAGUAGCAUUUAUUGUAAGCACUCUUGCAAGGGAUGCAUUUUUGUCCACACAUGUGGAUGCCAGGUCGUAGGAGGCCCCUAAUCAUGGGGCGAAUAAGUUAGUUUUGGAUUUCAAACAAAUCGCUUUUCAAACAGCCUUCUGGGACGGAUUAUGGUCGAAAACCGAGGUAUGACUGUAUAUGAAAAAAAAAACAUGUUGGAAACGCAAUUGUAAGGAACACAACUAGUUAGCAGACAUCUGAGAGUCCGCUUUUACUCUCGAUCUCCUGUGUGUAGCAUAUCGACGCUGUCGGGCAUAAUCCUCGCAUCUCCAAAAUGACUAAUAUCCAGGAAAAUAAUAAUAAUACGAAGCCACCUUACUUGA